rnacentral:rRNA from 1 species
CCUACGGGUUGCAGCAGUGGGGAAUAUUGCACAAUGGGCGCAAGCCUGAUGCAGCCAUGCCGCGUGUAUGAAGAAGGCCUUCGGGUUGUAAAGUACUUUCAGCGGGGAGGAAGGUGUUGAGGUUAAUAACCUCAGCAAUUGACAUUACCCGCAGAAGAAGCACCGGCUAACUCCGUGCCAGCAGCCGCGGUAAUACGGAGGGUGCAAGCGUUAAUCGGAAUUACUGGGCGUAAAGCGCACGCAGGCGGUCUGUCAAGUCGGAUGUGAAAUCCCCGGGCUCAACCUGGGAGCUGCAUUCGAAACUGGCAGGCUGGAGUCUUGUAGAGGGGGGUAGAAUUCCAGGUGUAGCGGUGAAAUGCGUAGAGAUCUGGAGGAAUACCGGUGGCGAAGGCGGCCCCCUGGACAAAGACUGACGCUCAGGUGCGAAAGCGUGGGGAGCAAACAGGAUUAGAUACCCGUGUAGUC